rnacentral:rRNA from 1 species
GGUAGUGACUGCGGAGGACAUUACCAAUUCAACGGUGUGGUCGCGGCCCCCGGGGGCUCCCCCCUGGGCGGUAGAGGUAACACUCUCACGCGCCACAUGUCUGAAUCCUUUUUUUACGAGCACCUUUCGUUCUCCUUCGGUGGGGCAACCUGCCGUUGGAACUUAUCAAAACCUUUUUUGCAUCUAGCAUUACCUGUUCAGAUACAAACAAUCGUUACAACUUUCAACAAUGGAUCUCUUGGCUCUGGCAUCGAUGAAGAACGCAGCGAAAUGCGAUAAGUAGUGUGAAUUGCAGAAUUCAGUGAAUCAUCGAAUCUUUGAACGCACAUUGCGCCCCUUGGUAUUCCAUGGGGCAUGCCUGUUCGAGCGUCAUCUACACCCUCAAGCUCUGCUUGGUGUUGGGCGUCUGUCCCGCCUCCGCGCGUGGACUCGCCCCAAAUUCAUUGGCAGCGGUCUUUGCCUCCUCUCGCGCAGCACAUUGCGCUUCAGAGGGGCGUGGGCCGCGUCCACGAAGCAACAUUACCGUCUUUGACCUCGGAUCAGGUAGGGAUACCCGCUGAACUUAAGCAUAUCAAAA